rnacentral:rRNA from 1 species
CCUACGGGAGGCAGCAGUGAGGAAUAUUGGUCAAUGGUCGGGAGCCUGAACCAGCCAAGCCGCGUGAGGGAUGAAGGUCCAGUGUAUUGUAAACCUCUUUUGUCAGGGAACAAAAGCGGCGACGCGUCCCCUUCCGAGUGUACCUGAAGAAAAAGCAUCGGCUAACUCCGUGCCAGCAGCCGCGGUAAUACGGAGGAUGCGAGCGUUAUCCGGAUUUCUUGGGUUUAAAGGGUGCGCAGGCG